rnacentral:rRNA from 1 species
UUUAUUUAAUUUAUGUAAACAAAUUAAUAACUUAAACUUUUUAUAAAAAUCUUAUUAAACAUAUUAUUUUAUUAACAAAAACAUAAGUAAUAUAUUACUUUAAAUUAAAAGUUUUUUAAAGGCAAAAUUCGUGCCNGCAGCAGCGGUUAUACGUUAUUAUAAAUUAAUUUUUUCUGAAUAAAUUCAUUUAAUAUAUUCUUUUUAAAGUGAAAUUUCUAACAAUAAUAAUCCAAAAAUUAUUCAUAAUUUAGAGAAAAACCAGGAUUAGAUANCCUGUUAUUCUAAUUUUAUAUAAUAUUUCAAAGGAAAUACNUAAUAAAUUUGACGGUAUUAACGUUUACAAAGGAAUUUGUUUCUUUAUCGACAANNCANGACAAACCUUACUUAAUACUUAUUUGUAUACCACCGUAAAGAAAUUAUCUUAAAUCAAUUUCAUAAAAGUAAAUUCUAAAAAAUCAGGUCAAGGUGCAAUUUUAUUAAGAUGAAAUGAAUUACAUUUAUUUAUAUANACAUAUAAAAACUGNAAAUAAUUUUAAAAAUAGAAUUUGUUAGUAUAAUUUUAUCAUCAUGAUAAGUAGAAAACUAAUAUUAAUAUGUACAUAUCGCCCGUCAUCCUUGUCAAUAAAUCAAGNAAAGUCGAAACAAAGUAGAUCUAAUGGAAAUUAGANCUAAAUCA